rnacentral:misc_RNA from 1 species
GUGCAGAUCCCACGGUCUAUCUAUAGAGAGAUUAUAUUCUAAUUAACCUCCAUUACGAUCCCACAUUGUUACAGAACAACUUGUUAGAGGUUAAUAACUCUACAGACACUUUCCUUUUAUGAAUUAAUUUUCAAUGGUGAGUUCUAUCUAGAUGAUCAUCCUCAUGUAGUGACCCAUGGGAUACUUCAUUAUUAAAAAUUUUAGCUAAUAGGAUUGAAAUAUAUAUAUUUUUUUCUUAGAUCAUUAAGGGGCCAGUUAAUCCCACAUACAAUGAAAGAA